GUAUUGGGAUCACUACAAAAGUUAUAGUAAUUUAAGCCUGCAUGAGUAGGAUGAUGGGGUUUGGUUAACUACAGCAACUUGAAAUGGGAACAUGAUAUGAAGCAUGUGUGAAGCACAGUACUGUAAUGGCAACCCAUUACUUUGCAGGUAAAAAAGUGAAGAUAUCUUUGUCAGAACCAAGCCACAAAUGUUUACAUCUUUAGAUGCAUCUGAAAGCAAGUUCAGGAUAGUUUGCAUCCAAUGAUGAAACAAUGAAGGCUUCAGUGAGGUUGCAUCAAAAACUUUUCAUGCAAGUCCUUAAAAUUUUUUUCAUGAUUUCAAUCAUUGACAAAUGUGUGAUUUUGCUUCUUCUUAGUCAGGUUUGUUCAACCUCAGGACAUCCUACAUCGUUCAAAUGCUUGCCUACCUUCUGAAAAGGAAUAUGAAAUCUAACAAACUCUAUUAUAU
rnacentral:lncRNA from 1 species